rnacentral:lncRNA from 1 species
CGCUAUAUGUCCAGUAAUAAAGGAGAAAUUCAACAAUUAAUGAAAAAUUAUUAACUACUUCCUGUAGGUCGUGACGUUUUCUCCUGGUUUUUGCAUGCCGGGAUUUAAAAUACAAUCAGUAAAAGUCUUGGUUUUUAAUGAUAUUUAAACGUAAUCGUAAGCGCGCCGAUGACUUAUGGUUUAUCUAAUAAACAUCCGAUAAUAAGAAGAUAAGACGCACAGACGUGCAAUUGUACACAUUCAUGAGAUAAAUUUUCUAUGUUAAACGUAUAUAUUCGAAUUAUUUUUGUAGACACC